rnacentral:misc_RNA from 1 species
AACUGAUACUACCUGCGGGAACCUGCGGAGGGAUCAUUAUCUAUAACCGGGUGUGGCUGCGGCCUCCGGGGGCGUGGGCGUCGAGACGAUGCCCUCUCUUCCGGGUGGUAGAGGUAAAACUCUCACGCGCCACAUGUCUGAAUCCUUUUUUUACGAGCACCUUUCGUUCUCCUUCGGUGGGGGUGACCUGCCGUUGGAACCCAUCAAAACUCUUUUUGCAUCUAGCAUUACCUGUUCUGA